UACAGAGGUCUCAAGCGUUGUUCGGAUUUACUGGGCGUAAAGGGCGCGUAGGCGGCCCUCCUUGUCGCGUGUGAAAGCCCCGGGCUCAACCUGGGAAUUGCGCGCGAAACGGGAGGGCUCGAGUUCGGGAGAGGAGCGUGGAAUUCCCAGUGUAGAGGUGAAAUUCGUAGAUAUUGGGAAGAACACCGGUGGCGAAGGCGGCGCUCUGGACCGAGACUGACGCUGAGGCG
rnacentral:rRNA from 1 species